CGUCUAUAUACGUAUAGCAUAUCAAUAAGCGGAGGAAAAGAACUAACAAGGAUUCCCUUAGUAACGGCGAGUGAAGCGGGAAGAGCUCAAAUUUGAAAUCUUCAAGGUUCUACCUUGACGAAUUGUAGUUUAAAGAAGUGUUUUCUGUUAGAGGAGUAGCAAAAGUAUCCUUGGAAUGGGACAUCAUAGAGGGUGAGAAUCCCGUAUUUGGUUAUUCUUUCUAGCUUUGUGAUACACUUUCAAAGAGUCGGAUUGUUUGGGAAUGCAGUCCAAAAUGGGUGGUAAAUUUCAUCUAAAGCUAAAUAUUGGCGAGAGACCGAUAGCGAACAAGUACCGUGAGGGAAAGAUGAAAAGAACUUUGAAAAGAGAGUUAAACAGUACGUGAAAUUGUCAAAAGGGAAGCGUUUGACACCAGUGUUGUUUUUCCGAAAAUCAAUUAAGAAUGGCUUGAUUUUGUGUUGUAUUGACCUUAUCAGCUUUCUUCACUCUUUCUCGAGUCUUUCUUAAUGCACUUUUCGGUUAACAAGUCAACAUCAAUUUCUUUUGUUGUAAAAGGGUAUUUGGAAGGUGGCUUUCUUUUCGGAGAAAGUGUUUAUAGCCUUAUACCUCUACAAUCGGAGAGAUUGAGGUCUGCAGCGUAGAUCCUUCGGGGCUAGAUACACUUGUGCUAAGUUAUAGCUUUUCAUAGACAACUUGUCGACUAUGUUUAGUCAUGUAGCUUACCCGCUUGUGCUAUUUUACCUACGCUUAGGAUGUUGAGUCAUCACACAUCUCU
rnacentral:rRNA from 1 species